CCUUGGCCUCUUAUGAGCAAGUUUUUUGGGUUCAUGCAAAACAGAGGUGUAUGGAGAGGAAUUACAGAGCAAAUGCUAAAAACUCCAUGAACAGCCCGGUCUGAGCGUUAUUCUAGAUUCUACCGUACCAUGGGAUGAAAAGAGAACUCUAAGGUAACUGGCUAGAGAGGCUGCCCUCCUGGGUGCAUUAAUUAGGAGAUUAUCCCACCCUUAGUCUCUGUGGGCCAAUCAUGCUAGUGGUUUAUUUAUAAUUUAUCUGGGAGGGUAGCAUGGGGCUUACUGGAGGGAGGGGGAGCAUAGAAGCAUCAGGACCUCAAAGCAACACACCAGUACACACCUCCGAGCCCUUUCUGGAACUCCAGAAGAGUGAAAGGGAUUUUAACCUUCUGUUGUGGUGUCAGGGAGAAGUGGGGAGCAAGAGCAGCAAAGGAAGAAGUGGGUAGAACCUACAGGAAUAGGGGCACAGGGUGAUUAGUGGACAAAGGAUAUCUGCAUUUUUAGUCACAGGCAGGAGGCUGUGACUACCCAGUUAAACACUCUCUUACUGGUUUAUAUGGACAAAUCACUGUGGAAAUGAGAGUACGGGCAUGGGCAGCUGCAGAUGUUGUAGAGGGGAAUUUGAGGCCCGGAGACAGGCUGGAUCCCCUGGAGAAAUAGGGGUAGAAGUGGGCACAAUAGGCAUCUGGCAGCCUCUGUAGGAAGGAAAACUUCCCUGAAGGGAGGUGUCCCCACAUCAUGGCAUCUGAAAAGAGCUGCCUCCUCACCCCCCAUGGUGGAGCACAAGUUUCAUUCUUAGUACUCAGAAUAAGUAUGGGAGAGGCUUGAGUAAGUAAAUGGGGCCCCGUCUUGAUGCCCAGAGCAUUUAACGAGGGAAAUUGGAAGCCUUGCAGAAUGGGGGAGCAUGGCCCGAUUACCACGAGCGCAGCAAGAGGGUGGGCCAGGGAGCUGAAGGGGAGGUUGGAAAAGGAAACACCAACUUCAAACGUGACAGUGGGAGCUUUUGACAGGACCUGAGGUCUUUGAUGCCAAAAACUGCAGUCCUAAGAUGAGAAGAAAGUUAAAUGUGGAAUGCUAGUGGGUCUACAAAGUCAGGCAGGAGCCCCGGGAAGACUUGUCUGUGUCCGUGCGCUCUGCUCUGGAGCAGAGGGAUGGUAAUUCCCUGAGGCAAGCUCUUGUCUUUCCUGAACUCAUUUCUUUUUGCCAAUUCUCCAGUCCCUUGGAUCCUAGAGAAAGGGAGAGUCAUCUGGCCAGGCUUUACUCUAGGGAAAUGAGAUGAGAAGGGCAGAUAUGGUAUGAGGUUCAUCCCACUUACUACUGGUCAGGAAGGGCCCUUUCUGCAAGGAAGUCGCUGUUUCUCUUCAACCCGUUUCACUUCUAUAGGUCUUGGACCCAUACAAAAAGUCACAUGAGCAGAGGGAGACAUUAUCUGUGGCCGGGUGUCAGGGCAGCAAGGCAGUGGUGCUGGGACAUUGGUUUUCACUCAAGUCCUGAAUCUCUGGGAGUCAGGAAGAGGGAAAAGUGACAGUCUGAUGGGCUCCGUUUUUCUGACGGCCAAAGGGUUUUAAGAUUGGGCUCUUUCCUAAGGCGGGAAGAUCGCUUGAGUCCAGGAGUUCAAGACCAGCCUGGCAACAUAGUGAAACCCCCUCUCUACAAG